GCCGUUUCGCCUGGUCUUCGAACUGCCGAACGACGCACGACUUUCCGCUCGUAAUGCGUAGGUCUGGGGUUCGACUCCCCAAGGCGGCUCCA
rnacentral:tRNA from 1 species